rnacentral:rRNA from 1 species
GGCAGGCUUAACACAUGCAAGUCGAGGGGUAACAGGGAUUGCUUGCAAUCCGCUGACGACCGGCGCACGGGUGCGUAACGCGUAUGCAACCUACCUUUUACAAGGGGAUAGCCCAGAGAAAUUUGGAAUAAUACCCUAUACGAUCAUUAAUUGGCAUCAAUUAAUGAAGAAAACUCCGGUGGUAAAAGAUGAGCAUGCGUCCUAUUAGUUUGUAGGUGAGGUAACGGCUCACCUAGACUACGAUAGGUAGGGGCCCUGAGAGGGGGAUCCCCCACACUGGUACUGAGACACGGACCAGACUCCUACGGGAGGCAGCAGUAAGGAAUAUUGGACAAUGGACGAAAGUCUGAUCCAGCCAUGCCGCGUGCAGGAUGAAAGCCCUAUGGGUUGUAAACUGCUUUUAUACAGGAAGAAACACUCCGACGUGUCGGAGCUUGACGGUACUGUAAGAAUAAGGAUCGG